GCCAACAUAGCUCAGUCGGUAGAGCGCGUCCAUGGUAAGGACGAGGUCCACAGUUCGAUUCUGUGUGUUGGCU
rnacentral:tRNA from 1 species